UGGAAACUCUCCCCAGGCGUCAGGCAGGACCAGCCUCCCCUGAGCAGUUUUUCCUUUGUGUGGACUUUGCAAUGCGUUGCCAAGGCAGUGAGGCCUGCUGGGUCCCAAACAAGUGAAAAAGGACGAAGGAAAAACUGUAUGAAAACCAGGCAUCUCACCAGGACUUCUGCCCACACAGCAGCGAGGAAAACUGUGCCAUCAGCAAUGGGUGGUCAGCACUAGCUCAGCCCCGGGGCACUGUGACAAACACCUCUGUUCCACUUCCCAAACUUCCUGUACUUUAGGACCGUGUUUUCCUAACAGAGACUCCCAAGGAGUCAAGCACUGCGCUUGAGAGCACAUGGCUUCUAGACUGCUGGAAGGGAGGCUGGGGCAGAGGUGGGCAUGCCCAGGACCAGUGAAAAAGGCCCGGGCUUCCGGACCUAAGCUGCAGCUGGGAGCUCUGGCACUGGAAGCCUGAGGCUUUCUGGAUUCCGGCUUGUGAGGAUCCCUCAGGGGCCCACGCUGUGGAAACUGCCACAACCUGCCCUGCUAUAGCCAAACAGCAGCCUGCUGGAACAAGAUGGAUGAUGGCUUUGUGGGGGAAUCAGACGCGACGACGAGGAAAAAGCCUGUGAAGGUCAAAUGAGAUCCACACAGGCUGUGAUUUCCCAUCUAAAUGUUAGCAUUGACCUUGUUGAAAUAACACCUUUGCAUUUCUCUUGGGAA